GACUACCAGGGUAUCUAAUCCUGUUUGCUCCCCACACUUUCGUGCUUUAGCGUCAGUUUUGAGCCAGGCAACUGCCUUCGCCAUUGGUGUUCUAUCUGAUAUCUACGCAUUUCACUGCUACACCAGAUAUUCCAUUGCCCUCUCUCAAACUCCAGACUUGCAGUAUCAAAGGCAGCUCCAAAGUUAAGCUUUGGGAUUUCACCUCUGACUUACAAACCCACCUGAGCACCCUUUACACCCAGUAAAUCCGGACAACUCUAGCACCCUACGUAUUACCGCGGCUGCUGGCACGUAGUUAGCCGGUGCUUACUCUGAGGGUACAAUCAACACAGUAUAAACUGUAUAUUUUUCCCCUCUUACAGGAGUUUACAUACAAAAGUAUUUCAUCCUCCACGCGGCGUUGCUGCUUCAGCCUUUCGGCCAUUGAGCAAUAUUCCUUACUGCAGCCUCCCGUAGG
rnacentral:rRNA from 1 species